GAUGAACGCUGGCGGCGUGCCUAAUACAUGCCAGUCGAGCGAACAGACGAGAGUGCUUGCACUCUCUGACGUUAGCGGCGGACGGGUGAGUAACACGUGGGUAACCUACCUAUCAGACUGGGAUAACUUCGGGAAACCGGAGCUAAUACCGGAUAAUAUUUAGCUUCGCAUGAAGCAAUAGUGAAAGACGGUUCUGCUGUCACUUAUAGAUGGACCCGCGGUGUAUUAGCUAGUUGUUGAGGUAACGGCUCACCAAGGCAACGAUACAUAGCCGACCUGAUAGGGUGAUCGGCCACACUGGGACUGAGACACGGCCCAGACUCCUACGGGAAGCAGCAGUAGGGAGUCUUCCGCAAUGGACGAAAGUCUGACGGAGCAAUGCCGCGUGAGUGAAGAAGGUUUUCGGAUCGUAAAACUCUGUUGUAAGGGAAGAACAAGUACGUUAGUAACUGAACGUACCUUGACGGUACCUUACCAGAAAGCCACGGCUAACUACGUG
rnacentral:rRNA from 1 species